ensembl:lncRNA
UGAUGAGUAAUCUGCUGUUAUCUGAAGUGGUGUUCCCCUAUAGUUUACAGAUGAAAACACUGAGACCCAGAGACAUGAGAUAAUCCGCCCAAAGUCACACAGUGAAGUAACAGGGCAAAAGGAAGGCAAACUGGAUCUGUGUAUGCUGCUUCUCCACUGCUGCUUCCACCUCAUGGAUAUGAACUCUGAAAUCCUUCCUUUUUCUCCCCUACAAUCCACUGUCCUUCCACCCUUCAAAAGAGCCUGUUCAGGAAUACUUCAAGAUGAGACCCUCCAUUUAUUCCGUAUUUACCCAGGAUAAAUGAAAGCGUAUCUCUAUACAAAGACUUGUACAUCAUUGUUUACGGCAGCUUUACUUGUAACAGCCUCAGAUUGGAAAUAACCGUAGUGUCCAUCAACAGCCCCAUGGACUGUUGCCCACUAAGCUCCUCCGUCCAUGGAAUUUCCAGGCAAGAAUCCUGGAGUGGGUUGCCAUUUCCGAUUCCAGCGGAUCUUCCCUACCCAGGGAUUGAACCUGCAUCUCCUGGGUCUCCUGCAUUGGGAGUUUGGGGGUAAAGGGCAGGCGAGAGAUACAGCGAAUGAGAAGAAGAUAUGGGAUCAAGCGAGGAUUUUGGUCUUUUAUGAAGCUGGGAUAUGCCACAGCAUGUUUAGAUGCUGACGAGCAGAGAGCACAAACAGAUGCAAGAGUAAGAGGACCUGCCAGAGCCCUUGAGUGGGCAGGAAAGUCUGGGCUGGUAUCCUGUGUGCGAGGGAGGCCUGGGCCUGGAAGAAGAGGACAGCUCAUCCACAAUGGGAGAAAAGACAGACAAGGGUGGGGCUUGCUUAAUACGCCACACUGGCUCUUUGUUAGUAAUGAAGACGAUAUCCACAAUCACAACAAUGGGAAUAGUCAGUAGGCGCCGUAUUCAUUAAUAAAAUG